rnacentral:rRNA from 1 species
AACGCGAAGAACCUUACCUGGGCUUGAACCGCACAGGACCCUCCCUAGAAAUAGGGACUUCCCGCAAGGGACCUGUGUAGAGGUGCUGCAUGGCUGUCGUCAGCUCGUGCCGUGAGGUGUUGGGUUAAGUCCCGCAACGAGCGCAACCCUUACUCGUAGUUGCCACCCGCAAGGGGGAACUCUACGAGGACUGCUCCGGAUAACGGAGAGGAAGGUGGGGAUGAGGUCAAGUCAGCAUGGCCUUUAUGUCCAGGGCUACACACGUGUUACAAUGCGCGCCACAAAGCGUCGCGAACCCGCGAGGGGGAGCUAAUCGCAAAAAAGCGCGCUCAGUUCGGAUUGCAGUCUGCAACUCGACUGCAUGAAGCCGGAAUCGCUAGUAAUGGCGCAUCAGAACGGCGCCGUGAAUACGUUCCCGGGCCUUGUA